rnacentral:rRNA from 1 species
CACGUAGGGCGCAAGCGUUGUCCGGAAUUAUUGGGCGUAAAGAGCCCGUAGGCGGUCUGUUGCGUCCGCUGUGAAAACUCGGGGCUUAACCCCGAGCCUGCAGUGGAUACGGGCAGACUAGAGGUAGGUAGGGGAGAAUGGAAUUCCCGGUGUAGCGGUGAAAUGCGCAGAUAUCGGGAGGAACACCGGUGGCGAAGGCGGUUCUCUGGGCCUUACCUGACGCUGAGGAGCGAAAGCGUGGGGAGCGAACAGG